CAUCUACUCCAUCCGUCCCAAAAUUCUUGUCUUACAUUUUUCUAAAUACGGAUGUAUCUAGUAACGUUCUAGUGUUAGACAAAUCAAAGACACGAAUUUUGGGACGGAGGUAAUAUUUG
rnacentral:pre_miRNA from 1 species